AAUCCCUAAAAGACCGUCCCACGUUCGGAUUGCAGGCUGCAACCCGCCUGCAUGAAGUUGGAAUCGCUAGUAAUCGCGGAUCAGCAUGCCGCGGUGAAUACGUUCCCGGGCCUUGUACACACCGCCCGUCACACCAUGAGAGUCGGGGACACCCGAAGUCCGUAGUCUAACCGCAAGGGGGACGCGGCCGAAGGUGGAUUCGAUAAUUGGGGUGAAGUCGUAACAAGGUACC
rnacentral:rRNA from 1 species